UACGAAGGGGGCUAGCGUUGUUCGGAGUUACUGGGCGUAAAGGGCGCGUAGGCGGCGCACCAAGUCAGGCGUGAAAGCCCUGGGCUCAACCCGGGAAUUGCGCUUGAGACUGGUGUGCUCGAGUACGGGAGAGGAUAGUGGAAUUCCCAGUGUAGAGGUGAAAUUCGUAGAUAUUGGGAAGAACACCGGUGGCGAAGGCGACUGCCUGGCCUGACACUGACGCUGAGGCGCGAGAGCGUGGGGAGCGAACAGG
rnacentral:rRNA from 1 species